rnacentral:misc_RNA from 1 species
GCAAACUUGGUCAUUUAGAGGAAGUAAAAGUCGUAACAAGGUUUCCGUAGGUGAACCUGCGGAAGGAUCAUUAUCGAAUAUACUUGAUGGGCUGUAGCUGGCUCCCCGGAGCAAUGUGCACGCCUGUCUUGACUUUAUUCAUCCACCUGUGCACCCUUUGUAGUCUCUGGGGGUUGAUAGCGGGGCUGACCGUCGAAGAAGGGGUUCUCUCUGGCCUCUUCACGGAUAUGAGGGGUGCUGCUCCCUUCAAGUGGCCUUGUGACCUCUCCCCCAGAGGUCUAUGUUGUUUCAUACACCACAGUAGCAUGUUGUAGAAUGUUAUUCGAUGGGCCUCUCGUGCCUAUAGAACUUGUAAUACAACUUUCAGCAACGGAUCUCUUGGCUCUCGCAUCGAUGAAGAACGCAGC